CCAUUCCUACGGGAGGCAGCAGUGGGGGAUAUUGCACAAUGGGGGGAACCCUGAUGCAGCGACGCCGCGUGGGCGAUGGAGUGCUUCGGUAUGUAAAGCUCUAUCAGCAGGAACGAGACAAGACGGUACCUGACUAAGAAGCCCCGGCUAACUACGUGCCAGCAGCCGCGGUAAUACGUAGGGGGCAAGCGUUAUCCGGAAUCACUGGGUGUAAAGGGAGCGUAGACGGCUGUGCAAGCCUGAAGUGAAAGGCGGGGGCCCAACCCCUGGACUGCUUUGGGAACUGUACGGCUGGAGUGCAGGAG
rnacentral:rRNA from 1 species